AUUGAACGCUGGCGGAAGGCCUAACACAUGCAAGUCGAACGAGUGGCGGAAGGGGGAGUAAUGUCUGGGAAACUGCCUGAUGGAGGGGGAUAACUACUGGAAACGGUAGAUAAUCCCGCAUACCAUCAGAUGUGCCCAGAUGGGAAUAGCUAGUAGGUGGGGUACCGGCUCACCUAGGCGACGAUCCCUAGCUGGUCGGAGAGGAUGACCAGCCACACUGGAACUGAGACACGGUCCAGACUCCUACGGGAGGCAGCAGUGGGGAAUAUGGCACAAGGGGCGAAAGCCUGAUGCAGCAAUGCCGCGUGUAUGAAGAAGGCCUUCGGGUUGUAAAGUACUUUCAGCGGGGAGGCGUUACCCGCAGAAGAAGCACCGGCUAACUCCGUGCCAGCCGCCGCGGUAAUAC
rnacentral:rRNA from 1 species